rnacentral:rRNA from 1 species
ACGGGGCGCAGCAGGCGCGAACACUUUACAAUGCGGGAACCGCGAUAAGGGAACCCCGAGUGCCAGCAUCAAAUGUUGGCUGUCCAGAUGAUUAAAAAUCAUUUGUUAGCAAGGGCCGGGCAAGACCGGUGCCAGCCGCCGCGGUAACACCGGCGGCCCGAGUGGUAGCCGUUUUUAUUGGGUCUAAAGGGUCCGUAGCCGGCCUGAUAAGUCCUUUGGGAAAUCUGGCAGCUUAACUGUCAGGCUUCUAAGGGAUACUGUCAGGCUUGGGACCGGAAGAGGUAAGGGGUACUCCAGGGGUAGGAGUGAAAUCUUGUAAUCCCUGGGGGACCAUCUGUGGCGAAGGCGCCUUACCAGAACGGGUCCGACGGUGAGGGACGAAAGCUAGGGGAGCAAACCGGAUUAGAUACCCGGGUAGUCCUAGCUGUAAACGAUGCUCGCUAGGUGUCAGACACGGUGCGACCGUGUUUGGUGCCGCAGGAAGCCGUUAAGCGAGCCACCUGGAAGUACGUCGCAAGGC